UACUGAAGGUGCAAGCGUUAAUCGGAAUUACUGGGCGUAAAGCGCGCGUAGGCGGCUACUUAAGUCGGAUGUGAAAGCCCCGGGCUCAACCUGGGAAUGGCUUUCGAUACUGGGUAGCUAGAGUAUGGGAGAGGGCUGUGGAAUUCCACGUGUAGCGGUGAAAUGCGUAGAUAUGUGGAGGAACAUCAGUGGCGAAGGCG
rnacentral:rRNA from 1 species